rnacentral:rRNA from 1 species
GACGGUGAUGGUUAGUCUGACGAGCAUACCGCGUGAGGGAUGAAGGCCCGUGGGUCGUAAACCUCUUUUUUCAAGGAGGAAGUUCUGACGUGUACUUGAAGAAUAAGCAUCGGCUAACUCCGUGCCAGCAGCCGCGGUAAGACGGAGGAUGCGAGUGUUAUCCGGAAUUACUGGGCGUAAAGCGUCUGUAGGUGGUUUAGUAAGUCGAUUGUUAAAGCUUGGGGCUUAACUCCAAAACAGCAAUGGAAACUGCUAGACUUGAGUAUGGUAGAGGUAAAAGGAAUUUCCAGUGGAGCGGUGAAAUGCGUAGAUAUUGGAAAGAACACCGAUGGCGAAGGCAUUUUACUGGGCCAUAACUGACACUCAGAGACGAAAGCUAGGGUAGCAAAUGGGAUUAGAUACCCCAGUAGUCCAA